rnacentral:tRNA from 1 species
GGGGAUGUAGCUCAGAUAGUAGAGCAUUCACUUAUCAUGCGAGAGGUAUGGGGAUAGAUACCCCGCAUCUCCA